AUGGGUUCGGGGAGCCCCAAGAGCCCAAGCCGAAGACUCCGUGGAUGUGCAUCCCACUUGUGCCAUUUUGGAUCGUCAAUAAUGUUGCAGGAUUCGCCAAGUACCAUUACGCCCGGAGACCACGGAUCCCUGAAGUUCCACUACCGUUGCCAUGGAUCUGACAAGUUCGCGAGUACGACCACUUCCCACGACGACCUUGUAUCACUACCGUUGACGAUGACAUGUGCACCGCAAGCAUCAAGUUCAACUACCGUCGACCGCGAAGGGUUUGGAGUCAUCAAGUACCUCUCCCAAACAAACGUGAAUGACUACCGUCGCAAGAAUGGGACCGGAAAGUCUGAAGACCCCAAGUACCUCGACACCGAUGACAUGAACGUCUACGGAAACUCGUGCAACGAUAAACAUGUACCACUACCAUUGCCGAGAUCGCGAGAACCUCUACCGUCGACCCUAGAGCGUGCGAGAACGACUACUUCGACUACCGUCGCGUGA
rnacentral:rRNA from 1 species